rnacentral:sRNA from 1 species
AUUCUGCUCUCUUUCUUCCUCCCUCGUACCAGGUUUUCUGGCAGUCGACAGGCCGCACUUACUGGGUGCACUGGCACAUGCUGGAGAUCCUGGGCCCUGAGGAAGCCACUGAGGAUAAGGCUUCAGCAGCUGUGGAGAAGGGGGCAGGGGCUACUGUGUUGGGCACAGACCCUGGGUGAAAAGGCCUUAGGUGAGAUCUCUGUGUCCGUGGAAAUGGCUGAGAGUCUGCUGCAGGUUCUCAGUAGUCGAUUUGAGGGCAGCACUCUCAAUGACCUGCUCAACUCCCAGAUCUACACCAAGUAUGGGCUGCUGUCUAAUGAACCAAGCAGCUCGUUUACUUCACGAAAUCACUCCUGUACCCCAGAUCCAGAAGAGGAGUCCAAGUCGGAGGCCAGCGUCUCAGAGGAAGAGACUGAGUCCCCCAAAGCAAAGGCCGAGGCCCCUAAGACAGAGGCCGAGCCCACCAAGACAAGGACUGAGCCCCCAAUGGCACAGAGUGAUUCUCAGCUGUUUAACCAGCUUCUAGUGACUGAGGGGAUGACCCUGCCCACUGAGAUGAAGGAGGCAGCCAGUGGUGAGUCAGGUUCUGGGAGGAAGCAAUUGGAACAAGUCCUGGGUAGUCUCAGUAGAAGAAAUGGAUAGUCAGGAUUGAAGGAAAGCCAUGGAGGAAGGUCAUUUUUGCAGGGGAAGAUGCCUUGGAACCAUGCGUCCAUCUUCUUCCUUUUGACCUUGAUUGUAUUUAAUUAACCAGCGCUCCCUUCCUUCAGUAUCUCUGGAAAAGGAGGAUCCGUUUUCUGGGGUGUCUUCAUCUCCUUUGUUUGAUCAUUAGAUCCCUGACACAGAAUUGGAAAACUCUGCAAGCUGCAGUAGCCGAUAAUGUGUUUAAAUAUUGGUAGGAUAACUGGGCUUGACUUUAAAGACUUCUAACUUCAAGAUGCCACAGUUCUUUUAGCCAUUGCCUUUUCCCACCAAUUUCAGAAAUGGCCAGAGCCUUGCGGGGUCCCGGUCCUCGCAGCUCCCUGGAUCAGCAUGUGGCAGCGGUCGUGGCCACUGUGCAGAUAUCCAGCUUGGACACAAACCUGCAGCUUUCAGGGCUCUCUGCCCUCUCUCAGGCUGUGGAGGAGGUCACUGAGCGGGACCACCCUCUGGUCCAUCCUGACAGAUCGCUGAGGUUAGCAUAUUGGGGAGGGAAGAGGUUUUGGUUGAAGCUGUAGGCAAAGGAUGGUGGUAGCGGGGAAGGAGCUUUGAGAUCACGAAUUAGAAAAGCUUGGGGUGAGGGAAGGCUCAGCCUGAGGAGCAGCCGAGCAGGAGGGUUGGAUGUUUUAAUGGCUCGUAUUCUUGGAGCACUUCUGUUAUGCCAGGUACUGUGCUAGUAUUUUACAUGCAUUCUCUCAUUAAAUCCACCUAACACCUG